rnacentral:rRNA from 1 species
UACGUAGGCAGCGAGCGUUGUUCGGAGUUACUGGGCGUAAAGCGUGCGUAGGCGGUGGUCCAAGUCUGGUGUGAAAUCUCCCGGCUUAACUGGGAGGGUGCGGUGGAAACUGGGGUGCUUGAGUGUGGGAGAGGUAAGCGGAAUUCCUGGUGUAGCGGUGAAAUGCGUAGAUAUCAGGAGGAACACCGGUGGUGUAGACGGCUUACUGGACCACGACUGACACUGAGGCACGAAAGCGUGGGUAGCAAACAGG